rnacentral:tRNA from 1 species
GGACCCAUAGCGCAGUUGGUUAGCGCGCCUCCUUGACAUGGAGGAGGUCACAGGUUCGAGUCCUGUUGGGUCCACCA